GGAAGCUGACAAAUUAGAUCCAUAACUUCGCAAUAAGGAUUGUCUCUGAGGACUGGGGCGUAUCGGGCUUGGUCGGGAAGCGAGUUUAGCUGACGUGCCAGGUCUGAGCGAGCUGAACGGGACGCGGCGUAUCUCUCGCGAGGGAUCGUCGCGCAGCCCGGAUCCGAGUUCGAUCCCGUGCCUUGAGCUCCCGCGGACCUUCCUUGCUGCAAGGCUUCCGCGGCGGUUUUACCGCCGCGGUCGAUCUCUUCGGCCGCCAUUCAACGCUCAGCUCAGAACUGGCACGAACUAUGGAAAUUCGUCUAUCUAAUUAAAACUAAUUAAAACUAACAAGGUGUCAUUUACC
rnacentral:rRNA from 1 species